UACGGAGGGGGCGAGCGUUAUUCGGAAUUAUUGGGCGUAAAGGGCGCGUAGGCGGCUGGGCAAGUCAAAGGUGAAAUCCCUCGGCUCAACUGAGGAACUGCCUUUGAAACUGCCUGGCUUGAGGCCGGGAGGGGGUAGCGGAAUUCCCAGUGUAGCGGUGAAAUGCGUAGAUAUUGGGAGGAACACCAGUGGCGAAGGCGGCUACCUGGACCGGUUCUGACGCUGAUGCGCGAAAGCGUGGGUAGCAAACAGGG
rnacentral:rRNA from 1 species